rnacentral:rRNA from 1 species
GUGGGGAAUAUUGGACAAUGGGCGCAAGCCUGAUCCAGCCAUGCCGCGUGAGUGAUGAAGGCCUUAGGGUUGUAAAGCUCUUUUGGCGGGGACGAUAAUGACGGUACCCGCAGAAUAAGUCCCGGCUAACUUCGUGCCAGCAGCCGCGGUAAUACGAAGGGGACUAGCGUUGUUCGGAAUCACUGGGCGUAAAGCGCACGUAGGCGGAUAUGUCAGUCAGGGGUGAAAUCCCGGGGCUCAACCUCGGAACUGCCCUUGAUACAGCAUGUCUUGAGUCCGAUAGAGGUGGGUGGAAUUCCUAGUGUAGAGGUGAAAUUCGUAGAUAUUAGGAAGAACACCGGUGGCGAAGGCGGCCCACUGGAUCGGUACUGACGCUGAGGUGCGAAAGCGUGGGGAGCAAACAGGAUUAGAAACCCUAGUAGUCC